CCUACGGGUGGCAGCAGUGGGGAAUAUUGGGCAAUGGGCGCAAGCCUGACCCAGCAACGCCGCGUGAAGGAAGAAGGCUUUCGGGUUGUAAACUUCUUUUCUCAGGGACGAAGCAAGUGACGGUACCUGAGGACUAAGCCACGGCUAACUACGGGACAGCAGCCAGGGUAAUACGUAGGUGGCAAGCGUUAUCCGGAUUUACGGGGUGUAAAGGGCGUGUAGGCGGGACGGCAAGUCAGAUGUGAAAACCACGGGCUCAACCUGUGACCUGCAUUUGAAACUGUAGUUCUUGAGUACUGGAGCGGCAGACGGAAUGCGUAGUGUAGCGGUGAAAUGCGUAGAUAUUAGGAGGAACACCAGUGGCGAAGGCGGUCUGCUGGACAGCAACUGACGCUGAGGCGCGAAAGCGUGGGGAGCAAACAGGAUUAGAUACCCCGGUAGUC
rnacentral:rRNA from 1 species